ensembl:lncRNA
AAGCCAUCCAGGCGCCCCCAGCUUCCUUCCCCUUUUGAAUCUACUCUUGUUAGUCCUUCUCAAUUUGUAAAUAGGAAAAGAAUAGUGUUGAGAGUGAGAGAGGUUGGCAGGAGAAGGGGAAGAAUUUGUGCUGACCCCAGAGGCAAUGGAUCCAGAUCUGGAAAACCCACAGCUCCUUUAUCCAGGUCUCCUGUUAGGAGAAAGGCUAGAAAGGCAAUAGAAGAUGGCUUGAGAAGUGCUGAUCUCAUUGAGCUGUGUCCUUGUGAAAUCUAUUAUUACUCCUGGAUGCAACAGCUUGGGUAACUUGGACUGCUUCCCACAGUGCAGGAGGCAAGUAAGCUUGCCAUUAUUCAUGGAGUAUUUGGGUGCUGAUACCUGAAGGCAGCUGUGGCUGUAUGGAAAUGUGUAUGUAUGACAGGCAGCCAAAGGUGCAUGUAUAGAAAUAUACCAAUGAGCUGACUGUACAUCUUAUAUUCCAUUGCCCUCUUUCCCUAACAUGGCUGGCUUUUCCAAGAGUAGAAGUAUGUAACCAAUUCUUAGUCUCUGCAGUUUGGGAAGUAGAACUGUGAUCUAGUCAGGUGGAAGUUAAUUGGAACUGAGUCAUUGUAUAAUAGAACCCGAGAAGUCUCCAGGCUUCUUGCUGCCAGUGUUCCUAGCAUUUUCCGGGUCUUUGUUCUUUUGAAGUUUGGAGAUUUGUCUUUCAGUUCUGGAGUUGCCCAGUGUCCUUCUAUUAUAUUUCCUUCUUGCUUAAGUCUUAAAUCCAUUGCUUGUCACUAUAGAAGGUCUUGCAGUUUUAAAGGCAUUUGAUAAAUAUUGCCUAAUUGCUUUCCAGAAACUUGUAUAUCAGUGUAUACCAUUGCCAAUGAUAUAUCUUCAAGCAUCUUUUCCAGGACUGAAUACUAAAUGUAUACAUGUAUAUGUGUGUGUGUAGAUAUCUGUCUUUCUAAUCUUUGUCAUUCUGUCAGGUCAGAAAUGAAACCUUAUUUAACAGUUUUUUCAUAUCUUUGAAUAUUAUUGAAAAAUUUUGGAGGGGAUUAGGUGUCAGAACACUUUUAUAUGCAAAUUAUAAAAACCAGAUUCAAAUUAACUUAGGCCAAAAAAAGAGAUUUGGUUAGCACACAUUAAAUGGAAAGAAAGUGGUGUUGUCUAAAGUCUUGAAUUAAGAAGUGUGAGAACCAAGGCUGUGAGGACAUGCUUAUUGGCUAGCACUUCCGUCCGCUCUGGUGCUCUCACCCACUUGCCAUCAUACUCUCAGCCUCUCUAUGCACCACCCCCACACUGAUUGAUUUCUUUCUGUCAAACGGUUCUUUUCAUGUGGCAGGAGUUUAUUGCUGCUAGUAGUUUCACAUUCUCCCAGCCUGAGCAGUAGUGGAAAAAGACCUUCUCAUUUAAUGUUCAGAAGUGCUUUGGUCUUUCUUGGAUCACUUUCCCACUCUUUGGAUGGGUCACCAGGAUUUGCCAUGGCUGGAUUAUUGGCCUAUCCUCGGUUAGAAUGGUAGAGUAGGACAUUGUGGCCAACACACAUUAGCAGCACCACUCCCUUCCAGAGUGAAAUGAAAUGGCUAAGAAGGGUUCCUCUGAAGGCAAGGUAUAGCUGGGCAGGCAGAAAUGUCCCCUACACAUUUAGCAGAAACUCUUGAUUUUGAGGAGAUUGAUUACAUGUUGAUAUCAAUGUUUAAUAAAGACUAAGACAGCAAUGGUAUAUAGGUAGGAUGACCAUGUAAUUUAUAAUCCAACCUGGGACACUAUGAAAGAAGCUACUACUUAUAAUUAACAGAAUGCACAGUUAACGCUCUUUGAAGAGCCGAGCAAGUGGAAGUAGAGAGAGUACUUGGAAUUAUUACACUGCUUUCCUAGCCACACAUGCUCUUACAAUCACCAUUGACCACGUGCUAAGAGAAAACAACUUCCUGCCACCAGAGCCAAAACUCAAAUGACCAAGAUUCAAAAAGGCUAAAGCUACACUGGAAGGAAACAUUUGCUCCUUGAUAGCUCAUUCUCUGGGGAAUAACCUAAGGGUUAUGAGUUACCGGUGUCACUUAUAAAGUUUCACAGUAGAGUAGUGGUUAAUGAAAGGCCUCAAAGUCAUGAGCCUGAUGUAGUUUAAAGUCGUGACUGCCAUUCACUAACUGUGAUGUUGGCACUUAACCUCUCUAAACCUCCGUGUCUUCAUCUCUAGGAUGGAA